rnacentral:hammerhead_ribozyme from 1 species
AUCCAGUUGACAAGUCCCGAAUAGGACGAAAUGCGCGUUAAUAACCUGGAU